UGCAGAGCUGGCACAUCCUCUGAAAGUCUUUUGUUUUCAUUAAUAGCCUUCAUCCACAAUGUUAACAGGUAAUAGAUGUAGAUAUUAUAAACGGAUGGUGGUUCCCCAGGAGAUAUCUGUGAAACUCUUUGCCCUGGUGGCUUUCGAGCAUUCCUGCCUGGGAGAAAGGCAUCGUUGCCCUGAGGCUUGGAAGUGCUAAGUGGGGUAUUUAGCAGAGGCUGAAAGCUGUGCAGGCAAGAAUGUUGCUCGGGCUGAAUGUAAAAUGCUUCCUCAUUGCUGCCGUGCUCUGAGUGCGGUACUCGUUCUGCAGAGGUGGGCACCGCGUGGCACUCAGCCCUGCAGUUUCCGUAUCUAUUUUGAAUGCAGGGCAGCGUCAGCAAAAGAAGCCUCAAAUCAUCUUUGAAUUCUGACUAGGUCAUUAAAUUUCAGACACUGAUGAUGGAUAUCACAGACGGACUGAAGCACAUGAUCUAAACACAAGAAAUCUCAGCUGCCGCAUUUGACUUUCAAAUCAGAGCAGCUUAGUGGAUUCAAGAGAUAACAGUCACAGAAGUACAGCCACACGCAGGGGUAUACACAAUACCACAUGAAUGUUGAUGGCAUAAGUAGACCUGGAAAGCUGUUCUAAGCAAGUUAUUCCUUCUUGGAGUACUCUAGGAGCAUAAGAGGCUACAGGGGAGCAGAUGAAUCUGUAAGUCCAGUCACCAGUAGUUUGCAGUGGACCUAGAUGUGCUACCAUCUGCACUGCAAACCAGCUGCCACGAAAAACAAAAAGCAACAGAAGGACAUUUACCUGCAGCAAGAGAAAAUUGAAGACUGGUUGUGUAAUUCAGGGAUAGAAGAUAGAUAAAAAUCUAUUCCACUAAAAUACAGAUGUGCUCCUCUCUCUGAUUCACAGUGAGGUCCCUGAAGAAAACUGCAUCAACUCAGCUGACCAGAAGGUCUGACAACUGUGACCAAACUUAUUUGUAAAGAUUUGCUGCAUCCAUGCAAGGGAAAAGCAGAGUAGCUGGCCAACAGCUAGGAAAAUCAGCAACAGUCAAAAUAGAAUCAAACAGAAGACUUCCUGAAGCAGACAUAGAGCGUAUUUCUCCCAGAAUAUAAUAAUAGGACUGCUCUGCCACUGUAAAAAAAAAUAAUAAUAAUAAUAAUAAAAAAAAAAAAAUCAUGAGGAACCAGAGUUCAAAUUUGAUUUUAUAGAAUCAUAAAAGAUACUGUGUGGUAGUAACACUCAAGAGGUCAUCUAAUUCAGCUACCUGCUAUAAUCAAGACUGUCCUUGGCUUGCUAAGAGCUUUGAUCUGGAAAGUCUACUCCAGUGACUGAGAUUCCACAGACUCCUUGGGAGGCUGAAGUGUGGAUGACUACAGUUUCAAUACUGCAAACACAAUGGAAAAUGGAAAUGGAAAAAUGAAGUCUUCUUGAAGUUGUAGUUCACUGUUUUCAGACCAAGAGACUGGAACUAUUGACAAUCCACAGAACUGCAACGUUAACUCUUUAACUCCCAGUGCACUGCAUGAUGUUAUGAUUUGGAAUACCAAUCAAAAAUCAUAAAACCAUGACAUAUUGACACGUGAAGAGGCAAUUAACUUUUUUCUAGCAGUGUUACAGAUAAAUGUUUUCACAGCCGCCUGCCUGUAUCACAGCUACAAUACUUCUGUACACAUUGUGUUUAAUCAGCAGUGAAAUCUGAAGUAUCCCUACAAGAGUUUGGCUCUGUAAUUGGAAAAAGAAAAAAGAAAUCUCAUAGUCUUCUUUUUAGCAUUUAUGAAGCCAUUUAAAUAUUUAAUAAGGAUUUAGAGAACAAAGUCACAUGGAAAGCUUGCUCUAGCCAAGAAACAUCUAACACUUCAGCGUCACUGAACUCAAAUGAAGAAAUCUUCCUACUGCAUGGAUCAGAUCCAGUGCCAGUAUUUUCUUCUGCCUAUAGGAAACCCAGGAUCAAGCUCACUGGAAACACUGCACAAAAGGCAUGUACAGAGGGAACUUCUGAUGACAGAAGCUAUGUUCUGUGAGAUAACUAGGAGGAAGUCUUCAUGUGAUCAAGCUGGAAUUUGGCAUCUGGUUCUAAUGUGGAAGAAGAGCCAACCACUAAUUCCUUCUGAUCUAAACUUCUGGAGAGCUGAAAUCUGAUCCAACAACAUUCUCAUUGGGAAACUUAGAAGAUCAUCUAGACUAUUUUCUUAUUCAACAAUGACUUAAGGUCAUUCGAGACACGUACUUGUCAAUAAGCAAUUGAAAAUAUCAUAAAGGAAAUUCUUCAACUUUCCUCAUUAACUCACUUCCAUAUUUAUUUCUCCUUUUAAGUAGAAGGAAUUUUUUGUAUCUUAAGUUCUUUUUGAAGAAAAAAGAUCAAUAUUGUCUUAAAUUAUAGGGCAGAGAAUAUAGAAAAUUUUUCUUUUUUUAUGAUAGUUCUUUAAAUUUUUUUAAGUUCUCAUGGUCUUCUUCAGUCUUUUCUUCUGAAGAUUAAGCAGUUAUUUUAGCUUUUCAUUGUCAUUUUCCAAACCUUCUUACUUGCAAUGUUUAAGAUAAUCAAGGAUGCAAAUUUGCUUGUGCUUUCUGUCCAGAUGAAAGCAACAUAGAGAUCUCUGAUAAAAGAUAACGGAGAGCAAGUGCUUUGUUUAAAAACCGCAAGGGACAUUCUGUAUGUUUGUGGUGAAAUAAUUCAUAAUAGUCUCUGCUAUACAGGGCUGCAGGGCUUCACUGAGGCCUUCAAAUGACAGAAGAGUAGGAUGAUGGUUCCAUGUCCUUUAUCAUUCUAAUGCAUUCCAGAAACAUUGGUCUACUGUUUCUGACCCUUAUCAACUCAAAUAUUCAUAUUUUUAUGUGGAAAACCCUGACUCUCUGGUUAUUCUCUUUUGUAUUUAUGCAUCUGAUUUUGCACUUCUCUUUAUUAAAGAGGUUUUUCUUCUUUUUUCCUCUAGAUUUUGAAUCAUUUUUUUAUCAGAAUCAGUUUGAAUUCUAAUCCUGUUACUUGGCAUGAUUACAAAUGUUUUUGUUGUCAUGUGAAAAUUAUGUACAAUAAUUUUCACUUUCAUGUUGCAAAUUAACAGAAUACCUCAUUUAAUAUUAAUUAAGGAUCUCCUGUUAAUCAAGACCAUAUGUUCCCUGGCACAGUUUGUCCAUUUUUGUUUUUUAAAGAAAAAUAGGAUGUAAUGUGUAUUUAUCCAAACACCCUGUUAGUUACCACAUGCAACAGCAAAGUUUGAAAAGCGUACAUGCUAAUUUACAGGUAUGUUCAUUGUAAAUAAUCCUGCUUUAUUUUCUUGUUACUCAGUGGCAGAAAAAUAGCCACAAAUCGUUUAGUCCAAUGCCAAUUGUUCUUCAUAAGCCAGCAGCAAUAUUUCUUUACACACAGUCUUUAUCUGCUCAACUCUCAAAGCCUUUGCUGUUGUAUUGUAUCACAAAAUGAUACUAAUAUAGAAAAUCAGGCAUUAAGUUCCUACCCCAAGGUCUUAUGUGAAGCAAUUUCAUUUGCCUUUCAUAACUGAUUGGUACUGUGAAGCUCCACCUCACAGUUAAAGGCCAGUGAUUUCCUUCAAGUUUCCUUACGUAGGGUUUUCAGCACUAAGAGCCUGCGUUUGGCCUAGGAUAGGAAGCUUAAAUGGUGGUCUGCUGCUGUCUUAUUCUGGCUGAAGUAGGAUGGGGAAGAGCAAGAGCAUCAGAGCCCAGGCAGACCUAAGGACACAGUAACCUUUGGCAGGAGGCAGGAGCAAGCAGCUGGGAGUGGGUGAGGUGGUAAUGUCUUCAGCUCAUACAGCUGCCUCUGAAAAAUGAUGUGUGAACAAGCCAUAAAUCAUUCUUGUUGCAGAGGAAUAUUUAGUAAAUACAUUUGAAAGCCUUUAUUGCUUCCUGUCUCUAAGAACUACAUGAGUAAAUUGCUUAAACAGAACUUAGUGUGAGAAAAAUCCUGUUGAAGUAUUUGGAAACAUUUAAACUAUUUUUCAGCCAAGCAGUCCUUUUCUUUGGAGGGACUGUAUUUUAAAGAAAUGCCUACUACUCUUUACAUUCAGUUAUCCACACAGUUUUAUCAUUUUCUGCAACAUUUUUAUUGCAGCCAUAAGAAACUUGUAGCAUAAUUUAGUAAACUAGAAUGUUUCAGUGACCAAAGGUGUGUGAAUGGUUUGGAUGUGCAGCUGGCUUUGCCAUAAAAUCUAUUAAACAAGAAUGGAGGGAAAUAUUCCCCUGUUUGAAAGGCUACAUCAAAUAAGAGGUAACUUGCUUUCUACCUCCACAUCACUCUUGAGAGAAUCCAAAGAGCUACAGGUAUGUUUCUCUUAAUUUGCCCAAUUAAAUGGUAAAACCAUACAUUUUAUUUAUGUAUGUAAAUGAUAUAUUUAUAAUAUAUAUUACACAAACAUAUAUGUUAUAAAAUAAUAUUAAUAAUAAUAUUUUUAGGUAUUUGCAAGUAAUAAAAUUUCAGCAUGUGUGUCAGAGCCAUUGGACAGAUUAAUUAUUAUCCUGAUCAUUACUACUAAUUAAAUAACAUCAGCAGAUGUGUAUACAAACAGAGGUAUUAGAGACUAGUGUUACCUUUUGUUAAACCUCAAGUCUGUGUCAAAUAAACUAAGUAUAUUAAUUUGGAA